AUUGAACGCUGGCGGCAGGCCUAACACAUGCAAGUCGAACGGUAACAGGAAACAGCUUGCUGUUUCGCUGCCGAGUGGCGGACGGGUGAGUAAUGUCUGGGCAACUGCCUGAUGGAGGGGGAUAACUACUGUAAACGGUAGCUAAUACCGCAUAACGUCGCAAGACCAAAGCGGGGGACCCUCGGGCCUCUUGCCAUCGGAUGUGCGCAGAUGGGAUUGGCUUGUUGGUGGGGUAACGGCUCACCAAGGCGUGGAUCCCUAGCUGGCUUGAGGGGAGGACCGGCCAAACGGGAACUGGGACACGGUCCAGAUUCCUACGGGAGGCAGCAGUGGGGAAUAUUGCACAAUGGGCGAAAGCUUGAUGCAGACAGGCCGCGGGUAUGAAGAAGGCCUUCGGGUGGUAAAGUACUUUCAGCGGGGAGGAAGGGAGUAAAGUUAAUACCUUUGCUCAUUGACGUUACCCGCAGAAGAAGCACCGGCAAACUCCGU
rnacentral:rRNA from 1 species